CGGAGCGUAGCGCAGUUGGUAGCGCGUCAGCAUGGGGUGUUGAAGGCCGCUGGUUCAAAUCCAGUCGCUCCGACCA
rnacentral:tRNA from 1 species